GCUCACGUAGUUCAGUCGGUAAAGCGUUAGGGUUUUAACCAAAGUAUCCAGGGUUCGACCCCCUCCGUGGGCG
rnacentral:tRNA from 1 species